UUAGCAUCAUAAACACUAAUCCCUAUCAGUGCUCCAUCUAGCCAAAACAAAGGGGUGUUUAUAGAAUUUUGAUUGGUUCUGGGACCAUCUAUUUGAAAACAAACCACUUUUGAUUGGUUGGAGCACAGCAAGUUAUUUGGAGAACAGGAAGUUUUUUUGUAAACAAUUUGGUUUCAGCAACUUAAAUUGAGCUAAAUUUUUAGGUAUAAUUCAGCAACAUUAAUUCUAGUGUCAAAUGUCUUGAAAUUCUUUCAGCACAUGAACUAUUGUGUGAUGCAAAAACAAUGUGUGUUUACUACAAUGUGUAAAUCAACAAUAAGUUUGUUGCAAAGAAGAUUCAAAGUGGGUGGUUAAAGUGAAUGCUGAAGAACAGCUGUAACAGGUUAAACCCCAAGGUGAAAUUUACAUUGAUCGGAAGAUCCAUUGGACAGAAUGUGCAUCAUCGCCUGCCAAAAAAGGGAGCAAAAAGGGGACUACCUGAUGUAUGGACAUGUAUACCAGGCCAACUUGAGGGGAACAGGAGUGGGAAACCGUGCCCUGUAGCUUGUCCUUGACUAAGAAAAGAUGGAUUUGUUGAGAGGACCUGAUCUCAAAUGAGAUCAUGCACGAGAAGCGCCUCGCAGACCAUGACAGUAGUAUUCAGACCUGAUCAGCUGGUGAAGUGCUCUAUAAAGGGUUGUUUAUGAAUGCAUUCUUUGUAAGGAACAGUGUAUAACAACAAAUAUAGUGACAGGGGCUAAGCUGCUAAAUAUUGUCAGAAUGUAUGCAGUGAUUUUCUUUGGAAAUUUAAAACAACCUGUAUGUACUGGCUCUCAGAAGGGCAUGUUUUAGCGCAAUAAUGAACAAAAAAAGGAAGAUCUUAAAAAUAAGGUAUAGAUUUAUAUAAAUUUCAUGAAUACUGUUCAUUUAUCAUAUAUUAGGAUCCAGAAUAUGAUUGAAUUGAAUGUGAUGCUUUUAUCCAUAUUAAAAAGGGAUUUGGAAUUAAUGUAAUAUAUAAAAAUCUAGUAAAUGAUAGGGAAAACAUUUCAGCUUAAGGAGGGGAAAUCUUUAAUAUUUUUGAAGCGGAAACCACCUGUAUUUGGCUGUUAAUCAGUUACCGAUAAUCAGAGGGGAGAAAAAUCACUGGUAUUAGCUUGAUAUUUUCAAUUGUUAAUUCCAGAUAGGCAAUAGCCCGUUUGAAUCCUCUCUUUUAUGUAGAUAUGUAACAUUUGUUUUUGUUUUUUAAGGUUUAACAUUCUAAUAAAAGUGUGUAUUUAUCUAUUGAAUUGUACUUUUUGUUUUUUAUGUAUGUGUUUACACUAACCUUUCAUUUAAAGAAUGAAUGCUGACUUCAAAAUGCUGGGAUUUUGUUAAUUUGGUUAAUUUUUAAGCAUAUUAAUUUGAAGUGAUGAAAAGUACACUUGAGCGUAUAAUGCGCUUAAAAAAUUC